rnacentral:rRNA from 1 species
UACAGAGGGUGCAAGCGUUAAUCGGAAUUAUUGGGCGUAAAGAGCGCGUAGGUGGAUGUGAAAGUUGGAUGUGAAAUCCCUGGGCUUAACCUGGGAACUGCAUUCAAAACUGCACGUCUAGAGUAUAGUAGAGGGAAGUGGAAUUUCCGGUGUAGCGGUGAAAUGCGUAGAUAUCGGAAAGAACAUCAGUGGCGAAGGCGACUUCCUGGACUAAUACUGACACUGAGGUGCGAAAGCGUGGGGAGCAAACAGG